rnacentral:lncRNA from 1 species
UGACACCAUCAACCGCCAUACUUUGCACCGUAUGGGCUUUACUAAGACAGAUGGUGGUUGGACUAAAGGUGUGGAAGAGAGAGCUGAGGACAGAGCUGAGGAAAAAGGACCACCCUCAUCCCUCCGUGAUCUCAGGGCAGCAUCUCCAGACAUUUAGUUCAUUUCGGAUCACGAGGCAGGCCCAUCAGAGUCUGUGAGGAGGCACACUCCAGUCAAGCAGCCGACA